rnacentral:rRNA from 1 species
AUUGAACGCUGGCGGCAGGCCUAACACAUGCAAGUCGAACGGUAACAGGAAACAGCUUGCUGUUUCGCUGACGAGUGGCGGACGGGUGAGUAAUGUCUGGGAAACUGCCUGAUGGAGGGGGAUAACUACAGGAAACGGUAGCUAAUACCGCAUAACGUCGCAAGACCAAAGAGGGGGACCUUCGGGCCUCUUGCCAUCGGAUGUGCCCAGAUGGGAUUAGCUAGUAGGUGGGGUAACGGCUCACCUAGGCGACGAUCCCUAGCUGGUCUGAGAGGAUGACCAGCCACACUGGAACUGAGACACGGUCCAGACUCCUACGGGAGGCAGCAGUGGGGAAUAUUGCACAAUGGGCGCAAGCCUGAUGCAGCCAUGCCGCGUGUAUGAAGAAGGCCUUCGGGUUGUAAAGUACUUUCAGCGGGGAGGAAGGGAGUAAAGUUAAUACCUUUGCUCAUUGACGUUACCCGCAGAAGAAGCACCGGCUAACUCCGUG